rnacentral:rRNA from 1 species
UACGUAGGUGGCAAGCGUUGUCCGGAUUUACUGGGCGUAAAGAGCGCGCAGGCGGCCGAGUAAGUCGAAUGUGAAAGCCCCCGGCUCAACUGGGGAAGGUCAUUCGAUACUGUUCGGCUCGAAGAUAGGAGAGGGAAGCGGAAUUUCAGGUGUAGUGGUGAAAUGCGUAGAGAUCUGGAGGAACACCGAUGGCGAAGGCAGCCCCCUGGGCUGACACUGACGCUCAUGCACGAAAGCUAGGGGAGCAAACAGG